UACAUGCAAGUCGAGCGAAUGACGAAGAAGCUUGCUUCUUCUGAUUUAGCGGCGGACGGGUGAGUAACACGUGGGCAACCUGCCCUGUAGAUUGGGAUAACUCCGGGAAACCGGGGCUAAUACCGAAUAAUCCAUUUCCUCUCAUGGGGAGAUGUUAAAAGACGGUUUCGGCUGUCACUACAGGAUGGGCCCGCGGCGCAUUACCUAGUUGGUGAGGUAACGGCUCACCAAGGCGACGAUGCGUAGCCGACCUGAGAGGGUGAUCGGCCACACUGGGACUGAGACACGGCCCAGACUCCUACGGGAGGCAGCAGUAGGGAAUCUUCCACAAUGGACGAAAGUCUGAUGGAGCAAUGCCGCGUGAGUGAAGAAGGUUUUCGGAUCGUAAAACUCUGUUGUGAGGGAAGAAC
rnacentral:rRNA from 1 species